UACGGAGGAUGCGAGCGUUAUCCGGAUUUAUUGGGUUUAAAGGGUGCGUAGGCGGGUUAUUAAGUCAGCGGUGAAAGUUUUCGGCUCAACCGGAAAAUUGCCGUUGAAACUGAUAGUCUUGAGUAUAGACGAGGUAGGCGGAAUUCGUAGUGUAGCGGUGAAAUGCAUAGAUAUUACGAAGAACUCCGAUAGCGCAGGCAGCUUACCAGACUAUAACUGACGCUGAUGCACGAAAGUGUGGGUAUCAAACAGG
rnacentral:rRNA from 1 species